GUUAAUCAAUCCGUUGGUAUAAAUUCUCUUUCACUAUCGGCAGUCAUAGCGAGAAGUAGCUGAAUACAUGCUAGCUAUCAUCGGAACUGGAACUUCAGCCUCAUAAAUACUCCGCUUAUAUACUCGUAUACCCAGCCUUUCUGAACAUGCAGCCUGUUACUAUCAUGGAGAAUAGACCCUCGCGGGCUGGCUAUUCUGAAAACUACAGUGCAGGUGCCGCCACCUGUACAGCGGUGUUUAUGAUUGUAUACGCCAUAGGUUCGGCAGUGUGUGGAGCCAUUAUCUUCGUCCCACAUUUUGGAGUACAUUCUUCACCCCUCCAGGACUUCGUCUACCCGAUUAUCGCUUUCGCUCAA